rnacentral:lncRNA from 13 species
AAAGAAUCUUAUUUCUCCUUUACUUAAGAAGCCUAGUUUAUCUGGAUGGGAAAUUCUGGAUUGUAAGUUCUUUUCUUUAGGAAUGUGGAAUAGUGGCCCCCAAACACUUCUGGCUUACAGAGUUUCCACUGAGAGGUCCACUGUUAGUCUGAUGGGAUUCCCUUUGGAGGUAAUGUGGCCUUUCUCUCUUGGCUGUGCUUAACAUUUUUUUCUUUCAUUGCAACCUUAGAGAACCUGAUGAUUAUGUGUCUUGCGGAUGACCUGCUUUUGGAAUAUUUUACUGGGGUUCUCUGAAUUUCCUGAAUUUCAAUGUUGGCCUGUCUUUCCUGGUUGCGGAUGUUCUCCUGGAUCCCCUGGAUCUCCUGAAGUAUGUUUUCCAACUUGGUUCCAUUUUCUCCAUCUCCUUCAGCUUGGUGCAUCUCUCACUGGCGAUCAAGCUGUGGCUCCAGACCUUUCAGACAGAGUUGGCCUAACUGGGAUACUGCACAUGAAAAUGAAUUGCACGGCUGGGACCCUCAAAACUGCCUUGGCUAAGUAACAGGAAGUAGCUUUGAACUUUUUUGCUGUACUGGGCAUGGUGGUAGUUACUAAAUGAUUGGAUCAAGUCCAAAACCAGCUAGAAGGACCCAAGAGUUUGAGGACAUGAUUCUCCGAUGCUAUGAAGAGGGAGAGGACAGAAGCUCUUGCUAUUCCAAGCACAGAAAAUUUUCUUUUAUUUUCAGUCACAGCACAUGUGCAAUCCUGUGGGGCGGGUGGGGCAUUUAAACCAAACAUGUAACUAAGGGAAGACCACCUGGAUUAUAUAUUCUUGAUUUCAGCCAAGAAAGAUUGGAUGAAACAUUAAACACGUUGAAGGUAUGAAGUCUUUUGCUUUCAUCUUAUCCUCUUUAUUGGCUAUCUCUUGGCUCUUUUUAAAUUCUAGGCUUGGAUUGUAAUUUAUUUGCUAUUUCUUGUCUGUCAAUUGACUUCUGUAAUUUUCAUUUUUUUUCAUCUAUAGAUCUAUUCACCAUUUCUAUUUCUAUUACUGUUUCAAAUGACAAUGUAAGCUUCUCAGUGUGUUAUUUUUCCAGAUGUUCCAGUUAUCCACUGUUAUGUAACAAAAUGCUCCAAAAUGUAGUGGUUUAAAACAACAAUUUAGCAUGGCCCCUUAUCGUUCUGUGGACAAUUAGGCUCAGUUGAACUCUUCUUGCUUGAAUUCUCUCAUUUAGUCGAAAACAGAUGACAGCUAGGACUGGAGACUGACAUUUGGGUUGAGACACCUGGGAGCUGGUCAGUUUUCUCUCCUUCUGCAUGACCUCUCCACAUGCCUACUUUAAGCUUCUUCACAGCGUGGAGGUUUCAAGAUAGCAGACUUCUACCAUGGCAGCAGGCUUCUCCCAGGCUGAAUACUCCCAGGAAUGCAGGAAGAUGCUACAGGACUUCUCAUCAUGGUCUCAGAAAUUCAGAAAUGUCACUUCUGCCAUGCUCUAUUAAGUAAGUCAAAAAGGCCCAUCUGGAUUGGAGGUAAAAAUAAUUAGACUUCACUUCAUGUCACUUGC